ACAUUUACAACCACACGCAUGGCUUUAUUUCUCCGUUCCCUUUGUAUGGACUGAGGCGUUUACAGCAGGAGGAUCGGGGUUCUGCGGGACCAGGAAGGUUCUGCUGCGGGACCAGGACCGGGACCAGGACCGGGACCAGGACCCGCCCGUCUGCAGCUCUGCCCGGGGAACAGCAGUUCCACCAUUACCAUCCAACGUCUUCUGUGAGAAGAAGAGCUGACAAUCUGCUCAAAAUGGGAAUGGACAUGUCUCCCCCCUAUCUGAUGUGCCAGAGUGGAGAUGAGAGAAGUUCCUUGAGAGUUAAUUUAAAGGAAAAGUGGAACCCAAGAGGAGGACAAAAUAAAAGAAAAUUGACAUGACAGUAAAAAGACACAAAGAGAUGUUUCAGACUCCAUAAAAGUGAGGAAAUAAAGGAUUACUGAGGGAAAACUGGAGAAUACAACACCUGAGCAAGACUGACCAGAUUAAAAGGGAAAGGUGGACUCUAGAAAAUUAGCAGAGGAA